UUCUCUUCUCUCGAUUCUCUCUCUCAUUCUCUCUUUAAGUGAGCUUCGCCGUUAAAAUUUCUCCGGUACCGGAAAAUUAACAAAAGAGAAAGCGAAUAGUCACUGUUACAAUAAUUACAAAUCUCUCCCUCUCUCUCUUUCUUUGUCGAAGUCGUGCGUGAUGCUAGUUACGGUGGUGAAGCAGCGGUUAGUGUACUCUCGCCGGAGAAAUCGGUUAUAACCGGAAUCUCACUUCCGUGAUCGAAGACUCUGUUUUCCGGUUUUGAUAGUUUUCGAAGUUUUUGAGAAGAAAUGGAAAAACAGGCGAAGCUAACGAGGACACAGUCGUCGUUGCUCCGGUCAUCGUCGAAUCUUCGUUCGUCAUUUCAAAGCUUAUCUUCAAUCGUCGAAGGCGAACAAGAUCUAGAAGCCGGAGAGAAAGAAGAGAAGCAGAGAAGAAAACCACCUAAACCAUUCGGUUCAUCAAGUCCUAAAUCCGGUUUAACUCGGAUUAACCCCGGUUUAGCAUUCACAAUGGUGUCUCUCUCUUUCCUCAGUCUCUCAUCGUUCUUCUUCUUCGUCGUCUUCUCACAAACCGAUGAGAUUCUCACACCGGAAAAUCUUUUACUAGCUUUAAUCUUCCUCAAUCCAUCUUCUUCUUCGCCUCCAAGAACAUCGCUCUUCUUAACCAAACCGUAAUCGCAAUCAAACAAAUCUGCGACGAAACCACUAAAAACUUCGGUUUUCAGAGCAGAAACUCAAAAUCAAAACCGGUACAAUGGUACAUCGGAGACGAUACUAAACCGGAGAAGAAGAUCAUAAAGCGGUUCGUUAAAGAAGGAGUUCAAUUCUACAGUAAUGGAGAUUUCUACUAAGGUGAAUUUCACAAAGGGAAGUGUAACGGAAGUGGUGUGUAUUACUAUUUCGUGAGAGGAAGAUAUGAAGGAGAUUGGAUAGAUGGGAGAUAUGAUGGUCAUGGGAUUGAGAGUUGGGCUAGAGGAAGUAGAUAUAAAGGUCAAUAUAGACAAGGUCUUAGACAUGGUAAUGGAGUUUAUAGAUUCUACACUGGUGAUUGUUAUGCUGGUGAAUGGUUUAAUGGUCAAAGCCAUGGUUUUGGUGGUCAAUCUUGUGCUGAUGGAAGCUCUUAUGUUGGUGAGUCUAGAUUUGGUGUUAAACAUGGUCUUGGUUCUUACCAUUUCAGAAAUGGAGAUAAGUAUGCAGGAGAGUAUUUUGGAGACAAGAUUCAUGGGUUUGGUGUGUAUCGAUUUGCUAAUGGUCAUUGUUAUGAAGGAGCAUGGCAUGAAGGUCGUAAGCAAGGGUUUGGUGCUUACUCGUUUAGAACUGGUGAUGCUAAAUCUGGUGAAUGGGAUUCAGGGAAGCUUGUAACUUCUCUUCCUCUUGCGAGUGAGCCAGUUUCAAGAGCGGUUCAGGCGGCUCGAGAAACAGCGAAUAAGGCAGUGAAUCGGAGACGAGUAGAUGAGCAGGUGAGCCGAGCCGUGGCUGCAGCUAAUAAGGCUGCUACGGCUGCAAGAGUGGCUGCUGUGAGAGCCGUUCAGAAUCAAAUGGAUGGUAAAUUUUGUCAAAGUUGAAAAGAAAAAAAAUGUAAAAAUCUUUUCUUGUUUUUUUGGGGUUUUACCGGUCUUCUCUGUAACCCUGAUUGAGCUAAAAAAAAUGGUAGCUUGUUUCAGAGGUUUGUGGCACUGAGAGUAAUUUUCUAUCUUUUUACUAAUGUAACAAACUGUAAAUAGUUGAAGAAGCUGGUGGUUUUACUUUUGUUGUAAAUCAACGGCUUGAAAUGGAGUUUUUUUAGUUUUGUUUUGUUUUGGUUUUGAUCGAAUCUUUGGGAACAAGUGAUUUUGAUUGAUA